ACCAUUGAUCCCCUUCGGGCCUAGCCACAUCUCCCUCUCUUUCCCCUGCCUCCUUCUCCAGCACAGGCCGCCGCCACGGCUAGGCCGGCGUGGGGCGCGCCACCACCUCCACUUCGCCGCCGCACCUCCGCACUCCAUCCAUCCAUUCGCUGCACCGUGACCCAUCCACCAUAACUACCACGGGUCCCUUGCUGCACCUCACGCCACCAAUCUGAAUCUCUACUUCCUUCUUGAUGCUGUUCAUCCCAAUCUCGCCGCUGUUCAUCUUUGCUACUGCCCGCAGCUCUCUUCGUCUCUCUCAAACUUGUUGAUGUCGAUGCCCUCAACCUCCUGCUGCUGCUCUCUCCUUGCGCCCUUGCUGUUGCCCCUUUUACCCCUACCUCGCUGCUGCUGCUCCUUCUCUCUACGCCCCUGCUGCUGCUUCUUUCCCAAUCUUGCAACUGCCCUUCUGCAUCUCCAACUUGCUGCUGCUCCUCUGAACCUCUUCUCCUCCUAGUGUUGCUUCUAUCUUGCCGCUUCCCUGUAGCGGUUCCUUUCCUUCACCCGCUGCUCUCUUUGUGUGUGUGUGUGAGAUUGUGUAUGUUUGUACUUCAUAAGUAUUGAUAGUGUGUAAUGAAGAGAUAUGUUAAUUCUAGGGACAUGUAGUUGUUCUUAUAAUUUUGUUGAUCAGUGAGAAUUGGUACUGAUGCUUAUGACCUUCUAUUUCUAUGUAUGAGAUCUAGCCAAACCUGUCAUUUAUAUAUUGUACUUGCUGAAUAGUGUUCAGUUUUCAGUCCCUGUUUUAGCUCUAGUACCCGUGACAUAUAUGUUCAUGAUAUAUGUUUCAUGUGGUUUCGUAUUGCUGUUAUGUUGAUCAUUUUAGUGCUAGUACUGUGUCUUGUGUAAUCCAAACCAUAUAUGAUUUGUGUGUGUGACUAAUUGUCAGCUAGUAGCUUUUAAUAAUUCAUAUUGUUUCUUGUGAAUUUUCUAUCGAUGUUACUCUCUGUAGAAGUGAGAUGUAUGAACAUUUAAUUUCCUGUCUCCGUGUUAACGAUGUUUGUGUGAAUAAAUAUAUAUGUUUGUGUUGUGAUAUAUUUCUGUCCCUUUCACAGUAUUGUUCCUUCCCUUUUGUUACAUGUAUGAUAGUAAUAUAUGUGUUCAUGUCUUGUUGCUUCCCUCUAUGUUAGUGUUUUAGCGUCUCAAUUAAAACAAAAAUACCAAAAAUAAGUGAAGUGAAAUCUGAACCUCCCUCUGCUAUUUUGCAUUUUCUUUUGUCAACGAUCUUCCGGAACAACCUUGUUAGUUUAGAUUUUAUUUUCUUGCAAUCAUCUUCUGAAUUGUCACCUAGCUUUAGUCGAGUGCCGUCGCUGUUUGCCUAGUCCCUGUGGAGAACACGACAUUCGUAGUUUGGGGCGUAAAACCCCCGCUAUAUUACAAUUGAUCAUUUUGGCGCCGUUGUCGGGACUAGCGUCGAGCGAUUGUGCUAGGCUAUAGACUAGGUUUUUCUUGUUUUCAUCUUGUGCCAUAUAUUUGUGAUAUAUCUCUAGCCACUAACCCCUGUUCUAGUUAUUAUCUUUUUGUCUUCUUUUCCUUUUUGCAGGUUGGAUUAUCCUCUCGGAAAUGGCAUUCUAUUCAGAUCAUCAUGCUUAUGCGAGCAACACUACAAACAACACAGAAAGUAUUCAAGAACUGAUAAGUAAGAUUUCCCAUCAAUUAGAUGAUUUAGCUCGGCAGCGAGAGGUAGUUUUUGAGGAUAGGCCUAGCUCUUAUGCUCCUUAUUCUAGAGGUAAUCCUUAUGUUGCUCCUACAUGCCAUAUUUGUGGAUCUCAGGGCCAUUCACCCGCUGAAUGUCAGCGUGGUUACUCUCACCCUCCCGAUUGUUAUGGCAUGAGCUUCGCCCCACAGCCUAGCUCAUACCAAAACAAUUACACACAUGGGUGGCCUGAAAACCAGAAUAUGUCAUAUAGGAGCAAUAACCCUGAGAUCUCAUCGUUUGCCUCUAGUUAUCCAAUGCAGGGAUUUAGGUAUGAAGAGGAGAGCCACAACUAUGCUCCACAACAGAUUUAUUCAGCUCCUACUCAUAUACCUCAACAUCAGGACAUGUUGCCAAUGGAGUUAAAUGGUCCUCCAUUUGGUCAACCAACAUCUUCAACACAAGUGCCCACACAAGAUGACUUUGAUGAUAUAGACAAGCUCACAUUGCUUGGUCUCGAGUUCACUUCGAGUGCCGAAGAUGAUCCAAUUAGGCCGGUGAUACUAGAGGAAAUGAAGAAGAUUAAGAGUGGAAAGGAGCUAGUGGAAGAAGUAAGGAAGAUUGAGAAGAACAUCAACGCUGUCAGUACUAUCUCUUCCCUCCUUGAGCUGAGUGUUGCCGGGAUAUCCCUUGAGGUGUGUGAGGUUCCAACACCUUCACAUUUAGCUGAGCAAGAUAGCGAGAGUCCAUAGGAAGAGAUACUUCAGAUCCAAGAAGAAAUUCUCGAAGCCAAAGCACAAGAUGAUCCAGAGCUCGAAUAACAAAGUGAUCAAGUUGAAGACUCAUCAUCUAUUACUCUUGAAGAAGCAAAAGAAGUUGAUGUGAUUGAAGAUGAAGAACCAGAAACGCAUUUUCCCAUCGUCAUACAGGAGCGUGAUUUAGCAGGUUUAUCCAAUCCUCUUGAUGACAUGCUUCCUUAUGAGAUCUUUGCCGCUACUUUACAUUGUGUUAUACCAUCAAUUAAGCUAGACUUGAAAAAUUAUUUGCUUGGACAUGAUCAUACAUACAUUGUUGGUGGCAUUGCUCUCAUUCCUGAUGAUGACACUUAUUUUCCUUAUGCUAGUCCUAUGCUUAAUGAAACAUAUUAUUCCCACGCUAGUCUUGAGCUUAAUGAUAAAUUUCAUCCUCAUGUUAGUGUCGACCUUGCUGAUUUCUACCAUCCUAAACAUGUGCUUUAUAGCUAUGCUUAUGUAAUUGGAUAUUCGAUUGAUGACUUGGAGGGUAUUAUCCCUACCACUUGCAUUGUCUCUUUUGUUGAGAGUGCUUUCAGGUUUUUGCUUGUGCACGAUCCAUUACAUGUUGACCAGGUUCGAGGUGACAUUCCUUGGGACCCUGGUGGACUCAGAGCAUGGGGAUGAGGAGAAGCAAGGGGGCACACACGAGGAAUGGAGAAGCUGGAGCAGGCAUGAGGAUAGGGAAGCAAAAGGAGAGGAGUCACAAUGCAUGAGGAAGCAAAGGAGAAGAGUUGUAGUUUAGAGAGUGUCGAGCGAGUGCUACUUCCUAUAAAAACCCGAAAAGGGUGAAAAGGCCCAAAAUCCUUCUAUAAUGGAGAGAGUGUCAAGAAACUGUGGUUGCUCUAAUUCACGGAGGGACCCGGCCGUGAAGAAAAGAAGUAACCAUAGGGGCCAAGCUAAAGUUGGAGGGAUCAUCUUGUGAAGAAAGAAGAGAAGUGGAAGGGCAAAAGAGCAAAAGUGGCAGAUCAGAGGAGGAGGAUCAAAUCCCUAGCGGCAACCAUCGAUCCCCUUCGGGCCUGGCCACAUCUCCUUCUCUUUCCCCUGCCUCCUUCUCCAGCACAGGCCGCCGCCACGGCCAGGCUGGCGUGGGGCGCGCCACCAGCUCCACUUCGCCGCCGCACCUCCGCACUCCAUCCAUCCAUUCGCUGCACCGUGACCCAUCCACCAUAACUACCACGAGUCCCUUGCUGCACCUCACGCCACCAAUCUGAAUCUCUUCUUCCUUCUUGCUGCUGUUCAUCCCAAUCUCGCCGCUGUUCAUCUUUGCUACUGCCCGCAGCUCUCUUCGUCUCUCUCAAACUUGUUGAUGUCGAUGCCCUCAACCUCCUGCUGCUCCUCUCUCCUUGCGCCCCUGCUGUUGCCCCUUCUACCCCUACCUUGCUGCUGCUCUGCUUCUUUUCCAUCCCCACGUUGCUGCUGCUCCUUCUCUCUAUGCCCAUGCUGCUGCUUCUUUCCCAAUCUUGCAAUUGCCCUUCUGCAUCUCCAACUUGCUGCUGCUCCUCUGAACCUCUUCUCCUCCUAGUGUUGCUUCUAUCUUGCCGCUUCCCUGUAGCGGUUCCUUUCCUUCACCCGCUGCUCUCUUUGUGUGUGUGUGUGUGUUCGUGUGUGUGAGAUUGUGUGUGUUUGUACUUCAUAAGUAUUGAUAGUGUGUAAUGAAGAGAUGUGUUAAUUCCAGGGACAUGUAGUUGUUCUUAUAAUUUUGUUGAUCAGUGAGAAUUGGUAUUGUUGCUUAUGACCUUCUAUUUCUAUGUAUGAGAUCUAGCCAAACCUGUCAUUUAUAUAUUGUACUUGCUGAAUAGAGUUUAGUUUUCAGUACCUGUUUUAGCUCUAGUACUCGUGACAUAUAUGUUCGUGAUAUAUGUUUCAUGUGGUUUCGUAUUGCUGUUAUGUUGAUCAUUUUAGUGCUAGUACUGUGUCUUGUGUAAUCCAAACCAUAUAUGAUUUGUGUGUGUGACUAAUUGUCAGCUAGUAGAUUUUAAUAAUUCAUAUUGUUUCUUGUGAAUUUUCUAUCGAUGUUACUCUCUGUAGAAGUGAGAUGUAUGAACAUUUAAUUUCCAGUCUCCGUGUUAACGAUGUUUGUGUGAAUAAAUAUAUAUGUUUGUGUUGUGA